GACGAACGCUGGCGGCGUGCCUAAUACAUGCAAGUCGAACGAACAGACGCGGAUCUUGCUCCUUUCACGUUAGCGGCGGAGGUGUGAGUAACACGUGUAUAACCCACUUGUAAUUCUGGUAUCAUUUCGGGAAUCCGGCUCUAAUCCCGUAUAAUCUACUGCUCCGUAUGGUUGGUUGGUGAAAGUCGGCUUUGCGGUCUCUUCUAGCGGCUUCCGCGCCGCUUUAGCUGGUCGGUACGGUAACGGCUUAUCACGGCGAGCAUGCGUAGCCGACCUGAGAGGGUGAUCGGCCACACUGGAACGGAGACACGGACCAGACUCCUACGGGAGGCAGCAGUAGGGAAUCUUCCGCAAUGGGCGAAAGCCUGACGGAGCAACGCCGCGUGAGUGAUGAAGGUCUUCGGAUCGUAAAACUCUGUUAUUAGGGAAGAACAAAUGUGUAAGUAACUAUGCACGUCUUGACGGUACCGAAUCAGAAAGCCACGGCUAACUACGUG
rnacentral:rRNA from 1 species